UUAUUUUGAAAUAAAGACUUUUUAUUCAAUAAAAAAUCUGUUCUUAUCAGUUUAAUAUCUGAUACGUCCCCUAUCUGGGGACCAUAUAUUAAAUGGAUUUUUGGGACAGGGAGAUGGAAGAAGAGCUUGCUCUGUCCACUCCACGCAUUGACCUGGUAUUGCAGUACCUCCAGGACCGGUGCACCUCUC
rnacentral:snRNA from 1 species